rnacentral:rRNA from 1 species
AAUAGAUACCCGGGUAGUCCACGCCGUAAACGAUGAGUGCUAAGUGUUAGAGGGUUUCCGCCCUUUAGUGCUGCAGCAAACGCAUUAAGCACUCCGCCUGGGGAGUACGGCCGCAAGGCUGAAACUCAAAGGAAUUGACGGGGGGCCCGCACAAGCGGUGGAGCAUGUGGUUUAAUUCGAAGCAACGCGAAGAACCUUACCAGGUCUUGACAUCCCCCUGACAACCCUAGAGAUAGGGCGUUCCCCUUCGGGGGACAGGGUGACAGGUGGUGCAUGGUUGUCGUCAGCUCGUGUCGUGAGAUGUUGGGUUAAGUCCCGCAACGAGCGCAACCCUUGAUCUUAGUUGCCAGCAUUCAGUUGGGCACUCUAAGGUGACUGCCGGUGACAAACCGGAGGAAGGUGGGGAUGACGUCAAAUCAUCAUGCCCCUUAUGACCUGGGCUACACACGUGCUACAAUGGAUGGUACAAAGGGCUGCAAAACCGCGAGGUUAAGCGAAUCCCAUAAAACCAUUCUCAGUUCGGAUUGCAGG